GAUGAACGCUAGCGGCAGGCCUAAUACAUGCAAGUCGAACGAUAGAAGAGGGCUUGCUCUCUUCGAAAGUGGCGCACGGGUGCGUAACGCGUAUGCAACCUACCUUAAUCAGGGGGAUAGCCCGAAGAAAUUCGGAUUAACACCGCAUAAAAUCACAGUACAGCAUUGUACAAUGAUCAAAUAUUUAUAGGAUUAAGAUGGGCAUGCGUGACAUUAGCUAGUUGGCGGGGAAACGGCCCACCAAGGCGACGAUUUCUAGGGGAUCUGAGAGGAGGACCCCCCACACUGGUACUGAGACACGGACCAGACUCCUACGGGAGGCAGCAGUAAGGAAUAUUGGUCAAUGGAGGCAACUCUGAACCAGCCAUGCCGCGUGCAGGAAGACGGCCCUCUGGGUUGUAAACUGCUUUUAUUCGGGAAUAAACCUCAUCACGUGUAAUGAGCUGAAUGUACCGAAGGAAUAAGGAUCGGCUAACUCCGUGCCAGCCGCCGCCGUAA
rnacentral:rRNA from 1 species